AAUUUCUGGUACGAUGCAUUUGGCCCGGCGGCUUCGGUCGUUUGUGUGCUAGAGCGCAUCUGCCAUCCUUGUAGAUCGUUUUCUACUGCCCUUCGUUGUGUGGUAGAUACGGUUUAGAUCUUUUACUUUGAAAAAAUUAGAGUGUUUAAAGCAGGCUUGCGCUAUGAAUACAUUAGCAUGGAAUAAUAAUUUAGGACUUUGGCCCUAUUUUGUUGGUUUCUAGGACUGAAGUAAUGAUUGAUAGGGAUAGUUGGGGGUGCUCGAAUUCAGCGGCCAGAGGUGAAAUUCUUGGAUUCGCUGAAGACGAACUCAUGCGAAAGCAUU
rnacentral:rRNA from 1 species